CUAAAGUUUUUGCAGGAACUUAAUGCCACUAAAGGACUUUGGCUUUGCUGGAAUUUGCGGAAUUGAACAAUGAGUGGAAGGAGAAGCAGGACCCAGACAAAGGAACGCUAGUGAAACGCUAGUGAGGCCUACGAAAGUAAAGUGCCAGAAUAGACAUUGGAUGAUAGAAAAUUCUUUGUAUGAAUCGAUUUAUUGGGGUCGGGAAAGCAUAAUAGUUGAGUAGGUAGGUGUUGUGAGUCAUUUCUGUUCCAUCUGACUCUCCUUGUAACGAGGGCUGAUUGGGAAACGUCAAUGCGGGGAGUAACAGCGCUCUAAUGCCCCCUAAAGUCGGACAGGAGUAUUGCACAUUGAAGAAACCGGAGCGAAAACCAUUUGUGUUCCUAUGCAAUGAACAUAUUGAUGAAAGUGACACAAGAGAUCAAGAGUGCGUUCAUGGAGGAUGCUGAUGGAAAGGGUAUCCCCCAAAUGAACGUGGAGACACCAGCUACUCUGCCUCCAUCGUGGUCACUGAGAUGAGUCUGAAGAAUACAAGACACAAAGAAAUUCUAUCGAACAAGCCUCUGAACCUCCUGUCAGACUUCCAGCCCAUCAGAGUGACAGAGCGCCAGACUGUCAUUCUUGAACAGGUGACGGGUGAGGAGAGACGAGGAGUUGGAGCCGUCCCUCUCGGAGGACGGGCUGACCUACACACUGGAGAUCAGAGACGUGAAGGCCAGGGAA
ensembl:lncRNA